CAAGCUAACCGUUCAAACCAAUGCCCCAAAAUACUGCCCGUAUCAGCUCAAUCUACUGUUGAAAUUGAAUUCUUCAGCAACUCGAAAGAACAAAAUUACUAUGGCAGUUACAAGACAGACAAAACAUGGACAAAAGAGGGAAAAUAAAUCACCUAUGAGUAUGCACAAUCAUCAAAACAAAUUGGACUUAACACCCCUUUAAACCAAGGCCAGACAAAGUCAAACUCGUCAAGGAUGAACCAAACUUUGUAAUGGAAACCCAAGUUAAAUCAGCUCAUCAUUUGAACAAGUGAGACCUACAUUAGAUGAUGCUUCAUAACAAACACAAAUCGCUAGACAUUGCUAUUUGUGACAUGUACAUAUAAGUGCAACUGAUCGAUCCACAAAGCAGCAGUGAACAAAACUAUUCAAUCGAUACCUAGCUAAGAAAUAAAACUAAAAAUGAACAACAUAGCUCACAUUCUGAAAUUAAUCACGAGCUAAUCAUAUAUGACAGGAAACAAACAAAAUACACUUUCAAAGAUUUCAUUUAAGUUGUGGACAGCCAAACCACACCAAAAUAUGCGUAAAAAUGGCAAACAAAUACACUGCAACCAACAAUCACCAAGAUUCAAAUAGUUCUAAACCAUUUGAACUCGAAUUCUCAAUACACCUCUUAAUCAAACACCAAAAUAGGCUGCAUGGGAUUAGGAAUUAACCUGAAUCAACAAGAACUUGUGAUUAACUUUUCUCAAAUGUUGAAUACAAGUGAAAUUCCAUAACCAAUAUCAGCAACCAACAGUAGAGAUGAGUAAGAAUCAGAAGCUCGGAAAAUGACGAACUUAAAUAUUUUUAAUCGAACUCCAUAGUAAACGAAAUCCAUCACAAGCGAUAUUAACCAAGAGAUGAUAUACAAGAUAUCGAAAUUUUGUAUUUUCUCCUCUGAUUCUAAAAAAUAGAAUUAAACACCAAAAGAGACUUGACUCCUUGUUUGGGGUAUGUUUCUGUAUUUUUCUAUUAGAAGAAAACAAGGAAGAUCCUCGACCUAUUUUUUCUGAAAAUCGUUUUUUUUUUUCUUUCAAAAUUGGAUCGAGCUCCUUUUGGAAAUGAUUUUCUGAUGAAUUGGGGCUUGGAUUGAGUGAAAUCAAUCCAACGCCUCACACUCAUCCAGCAAAUUAUUUCCAGAAGCUUCCAAUCGUGAGAUAAAACUCAAUUCGAGCGAGCAGAAGGAAUCUUUCUCAGAGAUCGUUAGAAACGGUGAUGAGGCUGGAGGCUCAUUCGCUUGGAUUUGGACUAAAAUUGAGGCUUGGUUUGUGUUCUUCUUUGGAGAAGAAGAACAGUCGCGUUAGAUUUAGGGCUUGUGAGAUUUUGGGUCCUG
rnacentral:lncRNA from 1 species